AGGGUUCGCUGUUUUUCAGAGUUCUCGUAGCAGAUGCGCGCAGUUCUUCGUUGUAAGAUUUCUGUUUCUGGUGUUGCUUUCUGUACUACUAUGAAAAAUAGUAAAUCUUAGAAUCUUGGGGAUUGGUAAGAAUGGAGUGGGAUCUGUGUGGAAGAAUUGAUCCAGUAGCAGACUGUAAUGAGUGUUAUCGUUGGUACAAAGUUUAACUCUGAAGUUAGAGAUACUCUCAGUGUCUUGCUCUCGGGUACAGCGUGAAAUUAAGUUUAGAAAUCGAGUAUUUUUGCAUUGAGUAGUAAAAGUAUUUAGGUACAUUUAAAUGUUGUGUACGGUAUUGUAAGUGAGGUACAAGCUUUACCCAUAUUUUUAUUUUGUACGUGCGUCUGCGAAGUGUUGGUAUACCGCCAUAAUGAGGGAGAUCAAUAAGUUCGGAAGAGCAACAGAAAGAAAAACAUCCCGGUUCUAGUCGCACCUGGACUGCAUGUCGCGAUCAUUUUAAAGACGAUGAGUUGGAUUGGCAUUGAUAGUCUCUGCUUCCUACAUCGGCUAGACGCUUCUUCAGACACUGUACUCAAUAGCAGAAAUGCCGUCAUUCUUUUGUCCAGCAUACUAUUUACCGGCGUUUUGUAUAAAGUCAUGAACGAACGCUUGUCAACUUGGAUUGCCGCUGAAAUAAACACACUUAUCUGACCGCUGUUGAAUCGGAAUUCGUUGCUAAAUUAUCGGAUGAAGAUGAAAGGUCGGAAAAUGGCAGCCCCUUUGGUACGGCCCACCACAAGUAUUUUUCAGACAGCUCAUAGCCUACGGUAUUUUAGCAAACGUAAAGCUGAACGACGUAUUGAGCACACAGUUUUGAACAGAGAUUGUCGCAUUACCGUCGUGUGUACAUUUUGAUCCUGACAGUAAAGCCGGCGAACAAGAAUAUCAGGAAUUAUGCAACUGGUGUAUGUGCACGGCCAAAAUAAGACACAAGCUACCUGUUAAUCAACCUUGUAUGUAAAUGGGGGCCGUCGAAGUGGUCAAUUUCGACCUCAUAACUACAGUUGAAGGACGCUGUAGCACUUGUCAUAACAAUGAGUAGAUAGACAUUGUGGACACACAGAAUAUUUGUUUGUUUGAGAAAUUGUUAUUAGAAAACCUUUGGAGGGACUGCAACAAAGGCUUCAGAAGGAUAAGAAAAGAACUGGUGUCUUCAUCAGCACUAAUCUACUGACACGCAUUCAACACAAUGAACUUUAAGAUCAGUUCAGAGUUAUUAUUUUGGACAAAUACACGGUUGUUAACAAGGUGAGGCAGACGAUCUUAUCUGGGUGGGAGCAGAAGAUUUGGUGCGCCCUGGAGGGUCUUCACUGACACUGACAGUGUCAGUGGUUGUGGCCAGGGGCUACAAAAAUGCGGGCGAGACUUCUCUCGUAAAGGUGCUGGACAUUGGUACAUUACAUUUCUUUGGAUAUGCCAAAGCAGCUGCUAUAGCUAUUUCACACUAAGCUGGAGGAUUCAAUGUUGGCAGAUAUCUUCUAUGUUCGAUACGUCAACUGUCGUGACUCAGAGGGCAGACUGUCACUUUGGACAAGAUACUUAAGUCUCUUAAUCUCAGUCCAGAGCUGCUCAAAAAUGUCACAGUAAUGAAGAAUGAGAUUCACUUGUUACCCACAGAAAUGGCCAGUGAGUGUGGGAGUGUCUGUCUGCCAGUCUCAGCCACACACACAGCUGGGUUGGAUGCUCUCUGAAAGAAGAUCGAGGGGCAGUUAUGCAUGCAGUGGCUAGGACGUCGAUGGCCGUCAGUGUGUCCUCCGAAGGGUAGGAAGGUGGCUGUCGUCGGUGUGAACACCGUCCUGCAGUAGGAGCGGUAAGUCUACGUCGAGGUCGUCAUCUCCAAAGAGCAGCUCGACCAGUUCGAGGGGAGGUUCCUAUGCGGUAGGCCGUACUGCUUUGAGUGACCAGUAUGUGAGAAACCACUGUACUGGAGGUACUGAAAUGUAGCACCUGACAUUUGUUGUUGUGCCUCCCAUAUAUUAUGUAAAAUGGACUAUGAUACAGAUUGUUUUUCCUGACAUUGUUACCAUCACCUGCAGUGACACAUGGAAGGAAAUUGGUUGUUACUAUUAAUAAGUUAAUGUUGUUGCAGAUAUUAUCCAUUUUGAAAUUCUAUAUUUAUAUUAGGUGUCAAAAUGAAGAUCUGAAUUGUUUCUGUAAUGACAGUAAUAUUUAUCUAACAUGACUUGCUUUGUAUUGCGAUAUGUUUAUAACAAGCUUCACUCUUAUAAUAAUGAGUUAGACAAUAAGCCCAGAGCAUAUUGUUUUCAUGAUUGGUAACUGGAGUUGUGAAACUAACAUAGGCUACCAGCAGCACGCAUAGUCUGUGUGGCAGUUUUCCUAGCUUUGGUCAGUUAAGGUUGUACCCACAUUAUCUGUACAUCAGGUGUGUUACAUACCUAUCAGGUGUUACCUCAUAACUGUCACUUCCUUACAUAUGCGAACAGUGUCUGGCUGCCCCAUAAACUGGAAGUGGUUUUCCAUCUAGAAAUUGACUGAGGAUAUGUUAAUGGAUAGGUAACACGCGGAAAAUAUUUUUUCUACGUGGUUAUCCUCCUGUCUGCUACAUAAUAAUAAAAAGUAUUGACAAAAGAAAACUGACAUCAAUGUUGAAUUCAGAUUUUAUCUAAAAAUUGUUGAUUUGUAACAUAAAAUAGAGGGAUGUUGGAGUAAAACUGAAGAAAACCAUACAGAUUUAUCAUAUAGCACUACAAAUUUAUCAUAUAGCAUUAGAAAACACAAUUUCCUCAACCAAUAGAUACAAAGGCUGACAUUGUCAGUGUUUAAUUCAGAUGUUAUUUGAAAAUUUUAGAUAUGUAACAAAAAGCAGAGGGAUACUGUAGUAAAACUAAAGAAAAAACAAUACAGAUUUACCAUAUAGUCCUAGGAAACACAAUUUCCAUAACAAAAAGUGUAUCAGACUAUGUUCCAGUACUUCAUUGAACUUAAAUGUGACAUGUUUCCAUUAGUUUCAGAAAUGACUAUCACAUUUAUCCAUAAUAACAGAAAACACUUGCAUUUGAGCAUGAUGAAGAGCAUUUUGUUGAGUACAACAUAACAAUAUAUACGUAAUUUUUCUGUUUCUGCAUGUGAACUGUACUUUCAUCAAAAGUAAUUGCUGUGGUUACAUAAAAGCGCAGAAGUUACGCGACCUGCUACAGUAAAAUCCUGCUUCUACACUUUUCAAGGGACUUGAAAAAAUGACAUGAAUUGCAGGAAAAUGUAAAAUGUGGGAAAUUACUUUUUAAGUUUUACUGGUUAUGUAUAGGGCUCCUUUUCCACUUUCGUAGUUUUAUAUGAUAUAUGUAGAUAAUAGGCAACAUACGUAGAUAAUAGGCAACAAAAUACUCUUCCGGGAAUGUUUAUUAUUUACUAAAGGUUAUCUGAAUUUAGUGCUGUGUUUAGCAGGUGACAUUACAUUCACAGACACUUUAGCACAACAGAUCGCAUUAAAAAUAACACAAACCAAGCAGUUGCCUUGUUGAUUUAUGUCUUUGCAAAGCUAAAGUGAUGCAAUUGGCAUUUUAGUUUCUAUACUUGAUGCCUACGAAAAGUGCAGGUCAAGUGUAUACUGCAUUAAAGCUCUCUCUAAACUGCAUUAUUCUUAGUGUAACUUUCCUCUGAAAGUGACAUCAGCAGAUGUAUACAGUACCAGCCAAUUAUCUAGCUGUUUGUGAUUUUUUUUUUUUUUUUUUUUUUUUUUUUUUUUUUUUUUUUUUUUUUUAAAUAUAGGUGUGUGAAAUAUUGUAAAGUGUGUUAAAUGUGGCACUACACUACAGAUCAAUCUGUCGCUGUAGCCUUUAUUUCACAAUUACUGGCUUUGUCAGUUCAUAGCCAAAUUAUCACUUUCAAAACAACAUAGACAUCAGGGUUACGAUAGAGAUUGGUCUGUAUCCAGAAUCAAGAUUGCAGGGAAGGGAACCAUACUAAAUUUCAGCAUUUCAAGCACACAUUUAUAAAGCAUUGAUAAGCCAUUUUUAUUUAUUAUACUGACCUUCAGUUUCAAUGGUCUAUAAAUCAUGAGGAAAAAAAUGCAAAAUUGUGAGUUCUUUUAAUUUUUUUGAUGAAUGUUUUCAGUGAGGUUUUUGAGUUUGUAAAGACAAUGUAAAACUUUGUCAUCAACAUCUGCAGCUGAAAUAUAUUUUUUAAUUCUUUCCACUGUUACAUUAACAACUGCAAAUGAGGAACCUCAUUGUCCUCUUCACUAUCAUUGUCACUUUCAGCAUUUUAUUGUGUGUGAAAGUCUAUCACAUUAUCAACAGAAACACUUUCCAGAGCGACAACAUCAUUAUCAAUGUGUAUGAAAUUAUGAAUGGGAUGCUGCAGCUGCAGCUUUUCUCAUGGUGAAACAAGCAGUUUUUCACCAUUGUCACUAACACUCGGGUCUGGUGCGUUACAUUCAUUUCUGUUGUCGGCUUCAAGGAAUCCCGUUUUUCGGAAGCAAUUGGAGAGGGUGGCACGCAAUAUAAUGUGAACCAUCUAAAAUUGACACUUUAAAGGAGGCUGGGUCUUUCCCAACCUCCAUCAAAGUUAAUGCCUUCUGCACAAUCGUCUUCCUAGAGUGUGUUUUGAAGACAUGGAUAGUACCCAUAUCCUAAGGCUGUAAUUUGCUUGUGCAGUUUGGUGGCAGAAACUGUAAUUGCACAUUACGUAGAUUGAUAUUUCUGGGAUGCGCAGGGUAACAAGAGAAUAUAAAUGAUUAAUGGAAAAUCUCAUUUCACUCAGUACAGCUGAUUGAUACACACAACAGAACAGAAAAUUUACAUAUCCUAGAUUUUGGAUCUUUGUUCCUUCGUAAGGGAGGAGAAGGGGGGGGGGGGGGGGGGGAAGAAGGGAAAGUGGAUUCAGUUACAACCCAGGUUAUGAAGCAACAGGGGAAAGGUAAACAGGGAGGGUAGCAAAGAUGGAGGCAUGGGUGUCAGAGGGAAGCCAAAAAUAUUCUACUGUAAGUACUGUGCCAGCUUCAAACCAAAGAGGAUGCAUUCAGAAGUAAAGAGGUAUAUAGUAUAAAGAUAAACACAACUAUGUAGGAUGAAAAGAUGCGUGAAUGGCUAAAGAGGAAAGGGAAAGAGGAGAAGACUGAAGAGUCAAUGGGAGUGAGGUUGGUUAACAUAGGUUCAGUCCAGGGGGAUGGUGGGAUGGAAGGAUGUGUUGGAGUGCAAGUUCCCAUCUCUGCAGUUCAGAGGGUCUGGUGUUGGGUGGGAGAAGCCAAAUGGCACGGAGGGUGUAGCAGGUUCCUAGGUCCCAAGAAUUAUGCUGGAGGGCAUGCUCUGUUACUGGGUAUUGGACAUCUCCUAGGCGGACAGUUUGUCUGUGCCCAUUCAUGCUCUCAGCCAGUUUAGUUGUGUGCUCAGCCUGUUUAGUUGUCGUCAUCCCAAUGUAAAAGGCUGUGCAGUGCAGGCAUGUCAGAUGGUAAAUGAAGUGUUGUUUCACAUGUGGCCCUGCCUUAAA